rnacentral:rRNA from 1 species
CUACAGAGGGUGCGAGCGUUAAUCGGAUUUACUGGGCGUAAAGCGCGCGUAGGUGGCUAAUUAAGUCAAAUGUGAAAUCCCCGAGCUUAACUUGGGAAUUGCAUUCGAUACUGGUUGGCUAGAGUAUGGGAGAGGAUGGUAGAAUUCCAGGUGUAGCGGUGAAAUGCGUAGAGAUCUGGAGGAAUACCGAUGGCGAAGGCGGCCAUCUGGCCUAAUACUGAGACUGAGGUGCGAAAGCAUGGGGAGCAAACAGGAUUAGAUACCCUGGUAGUCCAUGCCGUAAACGAUGUCUACUAGCCGUUGGGGGAUUUGAUCCUUUAGUGGCGCAGCUAACGCGAUAAGUAGACCGCCUGGGGAGUACGGUCGCAAGACUAAAACUCAAAUGAAUUGACGGGG